rnacentral:rRNA from 1 species
UACGGAGGGGGCAAGCGUUGUUCGGAAUUACUGGGCGUAAAGGGCUCGUAGGCGGCCAACUAAGUCAGACGUGAAAUCCCUCGGCUUAACCGGGGAACUGCGUCUGAUACUGGAUGGCUUGAGUUCGGGAGAGGGAUGCGGAAUUCCAGGUGUAGCGGUGAAAUGCGUAGAUAUCUGGAGGAACACCGGUGGCGAAGGCGGCAUCCUGGACCGAUACUGACGCUGAGGAGCGAAAGCCAGGGGAGCAAACGGG